rnacentral:rRNA from 1 species
AGUCGAGCGAGGCCUUCGGGCUUAGUGGCGGAGGGGUGAGUAACGCGUGGGAACGUGCCCUUUGCUACGGAACAGUCCCGGGAAACUGGGUUUAAUACCGUAUAUCCUCUACGGAGGAAAGAUUUAUCGGCAAAGGAUCGGCCCGCGUUGGAUUAGGUAGUUGGUGGGGUAAAGGCCUACCAAGCCGACGAUCCAUAGCUGGUUUGAGAGGAUGAUCAGCCACACUGGGACUGAGACACGGCCCAGACUCCUACGGGAGGCAGCAGUGGGGAAUCUUAUACAAUGGGGGCAACCCUGAUCUAGCCAUGCCGCGUGAUCGAUGAAGGCCUUAGGGUUGUAAAGAUCUUUCGCUGGGGAAGAUAAUGACGGUACCCAUUAAAGAAGCCCCGGCUAACUCCGUGCCAGCAGCCGCGGUAAUACGGAGGGGGCUAGCGUUGUUCGGAAUUACUGGGCGUAAAGCGCGCGUAGGCGGAUUGGAAAGUUGGGGGUGAAAUCCCGGGGCUCAACCCCGGAACUGCCUCCAAAACUAUCAGUGUAGAGUUUGAGAGAGGUGAGUGGAAUUAAGAGUGUAGAGAUGAGAUUAGUAGAUAUUCGCAGGAACACCAGUGGGGAAGGCGGCUCACUGGCUCGAUACUGACGCUGAGAUGUGAAAGUGUGGGGAGCAAACAGGAUUACAUACCCUGGUAGUGCACACCGUAAACGAUGAAUGCCAGACGUCGGGCAGCAUGCUGUUCGGUGUCACACAUAACGGAUUAAGCAUUCCGCCUGGGGAGUACGGUCGCAAGAUUAAAACUCAAAGGAAUUGACGGGGGGCCGCACAAGCGGUGGAGCAUGUGGUUUAAUUUGAAGCAACGCGCAGAACCUUACCAACCCUUGUCAUAGUAUAUAGCGGGCCCAGAGAUGGGGUCUUUCAGUUCGGCUGGAUAUCACACAGGUGCUGCAUGGCUGUCGUCAGCUCGUGUGUUGAGAUAUUCGGUUAAGUCCGGCAACGAGCGCACCCCACGUCCUUUGUUGCCAGCAGGGUAAACUGGGCACUCUAGGGAAAAUGCCGAUGAUAAGUCGGAGGAAGGUGUGGAGGACGUCAAGUCUUCAUGGCCCCUACGGGUUGGGGUACACACGUGAUACAAUGGUAGUGACAGAGGGAUAAUCCCAAAAAAAUAUAUCAGUUCGGAUUGGGGUCUGCAACUCGACCCCACGAAGUCGGAAUCUCUAGUAAUCGCGGAGCAGCAUGCCGCGGGGAAUACGUUCCCGGGCCUUGUACACACCGCCCGUCACACCAUGGGAGUUGGGUGUACCCGAAGAUGGUGCGCUAACCCAA